UACAGAGGGUGCGAGCGUUGUUCGGAAUUAUUGGGCGUAAAGGGCGCGUAGGCGGUGCCACAAGUCACUUGUGAAAUCCCCGGGCUUAACUCGGGGCCUGCAGGCGAAACUGUGGUGCUGGAGUAUGGGAGAGGUGCGUGGAAUUCCCGGUGUAGCGGUGAAAUGCGUAGAUAUCUGGAGGAACACCGGUGGCGAAGGCGGCAUCCUGGACCGGCAUUGACGCUGAUGAGCGAAAGCCAGGGGAGCAAACGGG
rnacentral:rRNA from 1 species